AGUGAACGCUGGCGGUAGGCCUAACACAUGCAAGUCGAACGAGUGGCGGACGGGUGAGGAAUACAUCGGAAUCUACCCUGUCGGGGGGGAUAACGCAGGGAAACUUACGCUAAUACCGCAUACGAUUGAAUGACCCGAUGUCGGAUUAGCUAGUUGGCGGGGUAAAGGCCCACCAAGGCGACGCGCCGUAGCUGGUCUGAGAGGAUGAGCAGCCACACUGGAGCGAAGACACGGUCCAGACUCCUAGGGUAGGCAGCGGUGGGGAAGAUUGGACAAUGGGCGCAAGACUGAUCCAGCCAUACCGCGUGGGUGAAGAAGGACUUCGGGUUGUAAAGCCCUUUUGUUGGGAAAGCGGUACCCAAAGAAUAAGCACCGGCUAACUUCGUGCCAGCAGCCGCGGUAAUUC
rnacentral:rRNA from 1 species